rnacentral:rRNA from 1 species
UUGGAGGGCAAGUCUGGUGCCAGCAGCCGCGGUAAUUCCAGCUCCAAUAGCGUAUAUUAAAGUUGUUGCAGUUAAAAAGCUCGUAGUUGAAUUUCGGGGUUAGUAGGUUGGUCACGCCUCUGGUAUGUACUGGUCCUACUGAUUCCUCCUUCCUGAUGAACCUUAAUGCCAUUAAUUUGGUGUUUUGGGGAAUUUGGACUGUUACUUUGAAAAAAUUAGAGUGUUUAAAGCAAGCUAACGCUUGAAUACAUUAGCAUGGAAUAAUGAAAUAGGACGUUCGAUCCUAUUUUGCUGGUUUCUAGGAUUGACGUAAUGAUUAAUAGGGAUAGUUGGGGGCAUUAGUAUUCAAUUGUCAGAGGUGAAAUUCUUGGAUUUAUUGAAGACUAACUACUGCGAAAGCAUUUGCCAAGGAUGUUUUCAUUAAUCAAGAACGAGAGUCAGGGGAUCGAAGACGAUCAGAUACCGUCGUAGUCUUAACCAUAAACUAUGCCGACUAGGGAUCGGAUGAUGUUAAUUUUUUAAUGACUCAUUCGGCGCCUUACGGGAAACCAAAGUGUUUGGGUUC